rnacentral:tRNA from 1 species
UUCCCUGAUAGCUCAACGGUAGAGCGCCCGGCUGUUAACCGGUAGGUUCGAGGUUCGAAUCCUCGUCAGGGAGCCCA